CCAGGUGUCAGAUUUUAUUUAUUGUUUGCCUUAAUCCGCGCAUGCUCGGUCUGCUUUGAGCCUUCCUUGAUUGCGAGCAGCUGUUCAGCAGUAAUUUUAUGAAAACAGGUUUGGCGUUUUUUCGUAUAUUCGACAGAACAGCCUGUUUAGAGUAACCUAUAGCUAAAUAAACAGACUAAAUCCAUCAUAGACAUCAAAACCACUGAUUCCGGAUUCAUAACUCAACAGCAGAACCAUAAAGUGUGGGCUCAGAACAGCACCAGAACUCGAUGGUGGGCUACUGUCUGUCAAAGAUCCUGAUCAUCCAGACAGCAGCUACAGUCAACAGAGAUCCAACAACAGCAGUAGUGAUGAACACCGUCCAAAAUGCUGAGCCUUCAGGAGGAAGAGGAGGAUUUUUAUGAUUGAGAGACAUUAACCAGAUCCAGAAGAUCCCGACUCCAACAAAAGUCAUCAGAGAUCCAGCAGCAGCAGAUAUCAAAACUAUCUGAGAACCUGACACCGGAGGACCAGAAGAAAUAGAAGUGAAUGUGUUGGUCGGAUCUAUAUCACAGGACAGCUGUAGGUGUUGUUAUCCUGAUAUUCCACCUCCAGAGGUAGAGAGAGACUGAUGCUGAGAUCAGACACACUGAUGCUGGACAAUACACUGUUUCCUUUGUACCAGGAGAGACUCACAGCGCUCACAUUCACCACUGAACACACCACUGAAUAAUUAUACUGGGAUGAUGAACACAGAGAAGAGUUGAAGAUGAGGGCAGGAACAAGCAGACGUGCUGGAAAACAUGAGAAUAGAGAUUUUCAGUACAGAGUUUGAGUGUAAAUUGUUGAAGAAUUUGUGAAGGAUUAAAGAACUUUACUCGCCAUGAACAGAAACAUUG
rnacentral:lncRNA from 1 species